rnacentral:rRNA from 1 species
CAGUCGCCGCGGUAAUACGAAGGGGGCUAGCGUUGUUCGGAAUUACUGGGCGUAAAGCGCACGUAGGCGGAUUUUUAAGUCAGGGGUGAAAUCCCGAGGCUCAACCUCGGAACUGCCUUUGAUACUGGAGAUCUUGAGUUCGGAAGAGGUUGGUGGAACAGCUAGUGUAGAGGUGAAAUUCGUAGAUAUUAGCUAGAACACCAGUGGCGAAGGCGGCCAACUGGUCCGAUACUGACGCUGAGGUGCGAAAGCGUGGGGAGCAAACAGGAUUAGAGACCCCAGUAGUCCCUGUCUCUUAUAC